CAGGCCAUGAAUUCAAGGCUGUGGUGAAUCUGGAAGGUGUGAAUAAGCUUUGCAUCAAUAUGAAGGGAUUGACUGCAGUGAUAGAGCUGAAUGGAGACAGAUUGAUUGAAACCCUGACUACUGGCGAAACAACCUGUACGAAAAUUAGCAAAAGGAUUUAAAGCAACGGGAA